GGGGCAGUAGCUCAGUUUGGGAGAGCGCAUCCCUCGCACGGAUGAGGUCGUCGGUUCGAGCCCGAUCUGCUCCACCA
rnacentral:tRNA from 1 species